rnacentral:rRNA from 1 species
GACGAACCGUGCGAACGUUGUUCGGAAUCACUGGGCUUAAAGGGCGCGUAGGCGGGCGACCAAGUCAGGGGUGAAAUCCUCCGGCUCAACCGGAGAACAGCCUUUGAUACUGGUCACCUCGAGGGAGGUAGGGGCAUGUGGAACUUCCGGUGGAGCGGUGAAAUGCGUAGAUAUCGGAAGGAACGCCGGUGGCGAAAGCGACGUGCUGGACCUCUUCUGACGCUGAGGCGCGAAAGCCAGGGGAGCGAACGGG